rnacentral:rRNA from 2 species
GAUGAACGCUAGCGGCAGGCCUAAUACAUGCAAGUCGAGGGGCAUAUUGGUUUUCGGACCGGUAGAGACCGGCGCACGGGUGCGUAACACGUAUGCAACUUACCUAUAUCUGGGGCAUAGCCCGAAGAAAUUCGGAUUAAUUCCCCAUAAUGUAUGACAAUCGCAUGAUUGAUAUACUAAAGCUCCGGCGGAUAUAGAUGGGCAUACGGCCCAUUAGCUAGUUGGUGAGGUAAUGGCUCACCAAGGCCACGAUGGGUAGGGGUUCUGAGAGGAUGAUCCCCCACACUGGUACUGAGACACGGACCAGACUCCUACGGGAGGCAGCAGUAGGGAAUAUUGGUCAAUGGACGCAAGUCUGAACCAGCCAUGCCGCGUGCAGGAAGAAUGCCCUAUGGGUUGUAAACUGCUUUUGUACGGGAAGAAACAUUCGUUCGUGAGCGAACUUGACAGUACCGUAAGAAUAAGGACCGGCUAACUCCGUGCCAGCAGCCGCGGUAAUACGGAGGGUCCAAGCGUUGUCCGGAUUUAUUGGGUUUAAAGGGUACGUAGGCGGGAUAUUAAGUCAGUGGUGAAAGCCUCCAGCUCAACUGGAGAACUGCCAUUGAAACUGAUAUUCUUGAGUGUGGAUGAGGUGGUUGGAAUAUAACAUGUAGCGGUGAAAUGCUUAGAUAUGUUAUGGAACACCAAUUGCGAAGGCAGAUCACCAAACCACUACUGACGCUGAGGUACGAAAGCGUGGGGAGCGAACAGGAUUAGAUACCCUGGUAGUCCACGCCGUAAACGAUGUUCACUCGCUGUUGGCGAUACACAGUCAGCGGCCAAGCGAAAGCAUUAAGUGAACCACCUGGGGAGUACGAUCGCAAGGUUGAAACUCAAAGGAAUUGACGGGGGCCCGCACAAGCGGUGGAGCAUGUGGAUUAAUUCGAUGAUACGCGAGGAACCUUACCUGGGCUUAAAUGGUAAUUGACCGUCGCCGAAAGGUGUCUUUCUUUUAGACAAUUAUCAAGGUGCUGCAUGGCUGUCGUCAGCUCGUGCCGUGAGGUGUUGGGUUAAGUCCCGCAACGAGCGCAACCCCUUUCUCUAGUUGCCAGCACAUAAUGGUGGGGACUUUAGAGAUACUGCCUACGUAAGUAGUGAGGAAGGUAGGGACGACGUCAAGUCAUCAUGGCCCUUACGUCCAGGGCUUCACACGUGCUACAAUGGAUGGUACAAAGAGCAGCCACUUGGUAACAAGGAGCAAAUCUCAAAAAGCCAUUCUCAGUUCGGAUUGAGGUCUGCAACUCGACCUCAUGAAGCUGGAAUCGCUAGUAAUCGCAAAUCAGCAAUGUUGCGGUGAAUACGUUCCCGGGCCUU